AACCUAGAUCUCCGGAGCCCUCCCAAAUCCUCUUCUCCUCAGGCACACAACGCCUCGGCCGAUGUUCCUCUCCUCGACCGCCGCAGAUGUUCCUCUCCUCCGCCGCCACCUACGUUCAUCUCCGCGACCGCCUCCCUCCAGCCACUGCCACCCUGCGUUGCAUCGCUGGCCCUUGAAUCCCGCCGCACACUUCAUCUCGCUGCUCCACUGGUGCCUUGCGUCUGCCCGCCGCUCCCCAUCCACCUGAAGGCGGCCACAACUGACGAGCCCUCAACUUGCAAUGCCGCCGCUGCUCCCCAUCCACCUGAAGGCGGCCACCGCUCACGAGCCCUCUUCUCUGAAGGCCACCGCUGCUCCCCAUGGACCUGAAACCCGCGAGCGCUCACGACCCUCCCCUCUUAAGCCCGAUGCCGCUCACAUCUGUGCUUCUCCCCCGACCAACUAGAUCCCGACCUCCCCACUAGCGAGCUCCGUCGCCCCUCUGCUAUAUUGCUGCUCCUACCUGCUCCAGCCCGCCCCCUCGACCAGCAAGCUCCACCACCGGCCGCUGCUCCUCUAUCGUUCUGCUACGUACUCGGUACUCCGGCCUGCUCCACCGAUUAAUUUUGUGAAGCCACAGUGAGCUAGGGGUUGCACUGCAGGAGCAUAGCCUGUACAAGUACUGAACAUUGAAGAUUGCAUUGCAGCUCAUCAAUUGUGAAUGAAGAAAGGGCAACAAAGAUAUCUAAGGUUCAGCGUGGUCAGCAAAAUGAUAACUGAAGAAUGUUGACUCUGCUGUUGGUACUUGGACACUAAAUAGUUGUUUGCUUUUGGGAACGUGGUGGUACUUGGCAAUAUGCAAAAUGUAUUAUCUUAUUUUUUUAAUUCUAUAUGGUGUCAAUCAGAGUUGGAUUUGUGAGGUAGUUCAUAAAUAUAUGAACUUUAUCAGAUUUAUAAAUGAUGGUCGAAUUUGGUA